rnacentral:rRNA from 1 species
GGGCCCGCACAAGCAGCGGAGCAUGUGGUUUAAUUCGAAGCAACGCGAAGAACCUUACCAGGGCUUGACAUCUACCUAAUCCUAUAGAGAUAUGGGAGUGCCUUUCGGGGAAAGGUAAGACAGGUGGUGCAUGGUUGUCGUCAGCUCGUGUCGUGAGAUGUUGGGUUAAGUCCCGCAACGAGCGCAACCCUUGUCAUUAGUUGCUAACAUUAAGGUGAGCACUCUAAUGAGACUGCCGGGGACAACUCGGAGGAAGGUGGGGAUGACGUCAAAUCAUCAUGCCCCUUAUGUCCUGGGCGACACACGUGCUACAAUGGCUAGAACAAUGAGAAGCAAAGCCGCGAGGUGGAGCAAAUCUAUAAAACUAGUCUCAGUUCGGAUUGUAGGCUGCAACCCGCCUACAUGAAGCUGGAGUUGCUAGUAAUCGCGAAUCAGCAUGUCGCGGUGAAUACGUUCCCGGGCCUU